CCUACGGGAGGCUGCAGUGAGGAAUAUUGGUCAAUGGGCGUAAGCCUGAACCAGCCAAGUCGCGUGAGGGAUGAAGGUUCUAUGGAUCGUAAACCUCUUUUAUAAGGGAAUAAAGUAUGGUACGUAUCCUCUCUUGUAUGUACCUUAUGAAUAAGGAUCGGCUAACUCCGUGCCAGCAGCCGCGGUAAUACGGAGGAUCCGAGCGUUAUCCGGAUUUAUUGGGUUUAAAGGGUGCGUAGGCGGCAUUUUAAGUCAGCGGUGAAAGUCUGUGGCUCAACCAUAGAAUUGCAGUUGAAACUGGGGGGCUUGAGUACGUUAGAGGAGGGCGGAAUGCGUGGUGUAGCGGUGAAAUGCUUAGAUAUCACGAAGAACACCGAUUGCGAAGGCAGCUCGCUAGGC
rnacentral:rRNA from 1 species